rnacentral:rRNA from 1 species
GGCUAGACUCCUACGGGAGGCAGCAGUCGAGAAUAUUGGACAAUGGGGGAAACCCUGAUCCAGCGACGCCGCGUGCUCGAAGAAGCCCUUCGGGGUGUAAAGAGCUUUUCUGGGGGAAGAAGUUUCGAUUGACAGUACUCCAGGAAUAAGGGGGUGCUAAUCACGUGCCAGCAGCCGCGGUAAUACGUGACCCCCGAGCGUUAUCCGGAUUUAUUGGGCGUAAAGCGUCUGUAGGCGAUUUGGAAAGUCUUUGGUUAAAUACCAAGAGCUUAACUUUUGGGCUGCCAGAGAUACUUUCCAGAAUAAAGGGCGUUAGAGGCUGAUGGAACGGUCGGUGUAUAGGUGAAAUUCGUUGAUAUCGACCAGAACACCGAAAGCGAAGGCAUUCAGCUGGGGCGACCCUGACGUUGAGAGACGAAAGCGUGGGGAGCAAAAAGGAUUAGAUACCCUUGUAGUCCACGCUGUAAACGAUGGACACUGGCUAUUUGAAGUGUCGACCCUUCAAGUGGCGAAGCUAACGCGUUAAGUGUCCCGCCUGGGAAGUACGGCGGCAACGCUAAAACUCAAAGGAAUAGACGGGGCUUCACACAAGCGGUGGACCAUGUGGCUUAAUUCGACAAUAAGCGAAGAACCUUACCAGGGUUUGACAGGCUAGUGAAAAUCUUCCGAAAAGAAGAUCUACCCACAAGGACACUAGUCCAGGUGCUGCAUGGUUGUCGUCAGCAUGUGUUUUGAAAUGCACGCUUAAAUGCGGUAACAUGCGCAACCCUUACCCUAUGUUUUAUCUGUCAUAGGGAACUGCCUGGGAUGACCAGGAGGAAGGUGAGGAUGACGCCAAAUCAGCAUGGCCCUUUGAUACCCUGGGCUGCACACGUGGUACAAUGGGGCUGACAAUGGGUUGCCAAGGCGCAAGCCGGAGCUAAUCCCAUCAAACAGCCUCUUAGUUCGGAUUGAGGUCUGAAACCCGACCUCAUGAAGUUGGAAUCGCUAGUAAUCGCCAAUCAGCCACGUGGCGAUGAAUAUGUUCCUGAAGCUUGUACUCACCGCCCGUCACAUUAGGGGAGCCGGCAGUAGCCGAAGUUCCGAGUAAUCGGGCCUAAGCUAAAGUCGGUAACAAGAAUG